rnacentral:rRNA from 1 species
AGGUCAAUCUCUUUUCUUUUAAAUAAAGACCUGUAUGAAUGGCUAAACGAGGGCUUAACUGUCUCCCAUUUCCAGUCAGUGAAAUUGAUUUAUCCGUGCAGAAGCGGAUAUAAAAAUACAAGACGAGAAGACCCUUUGGAGCUUAAGGUACAAAACUCAACCACGUCAAGCAACUCUAUAAAAAGCAACUUAAACCUUGUGGCAACUGAGAUCCUACCUUCGGUUGGGGCGACCACGGAGGAAAAUAAAGCCUCCAAGUGGAUUAGGGCCAACCCCUAAAACUAAGAGAGACAUCUCUAAGCAACAGAACAUCUGACCAUAUAUGAUCCGGCUAACUUAGCCGAUCAACGAACCAAGUUACCCUAGGGAUAACAGCGCAAUCCCCUCCCAGAGUCCAUAUCGACGAGGGGGUUUACGACCUCGAUGUUGGAUCAGGACAUCCUAAUGGUGCAGCCGCUAUAAGG